rnacentral:rRNA from 1 species
UACAAUAUGCUUGUCUCAAAGAUUAAGCCAUGCAAGUGUAAGAAAUCUAGCACAUGGGGAAAACAUUAUCUUCAUGUUGACAUAGACAUCUGUGGAUUGCUCAUUAAAAGAGUUUUAUACUCAGCCACUGGUAAUAUGAUAAAUUCUAUUUAUCAUUAGAAGGAUAACGCUGUUAACUUCUGCGAUAAUACUUGACUUAAAACGAGUAGCGAGUGGAUUAUCACAAGCUAUUCAGUAAUAGAAGCGGAGUGAAUGCUCCAUCUAUUAAAACCGUAUUAUUGAUUUUCUGAUUCCGGCAACGGAUAGGGAAGUUAGUGAUUGGUUAUUGACCGACUUGAAUCAAAAAUGGGCUUCUCACCCGGGCUUUAAUCGGUUUGGGCAGGGGGAGUUCAGAAAGUUGGCCCAGAGGAAGUGAUUCUUACCUAUCAGUUUUAGACGCUCAAGUAAGGGUCGAACGUGACUUUUACGGGUACGGGGAAUUAGUGUUCAAAUCCGGAGAGGGAGCCUGAGAAAUAGCUACCACAUCUAAGGACGGCAGCAGGCGCGAAAAUUACCCAAUACUAAUACAGUGAGGUAGUGACGAGAAAUAACAACCUUCUUUAAGAAGGGUACUAGUCAAACGGUUCGAAAUGGUGAUAAAUCAAAGUUCUAUCAGAGCAACAAUUG